rnacentral:lncRNA from 1 species
UCAGACCAUUAAGUGCAUUUGUUUUUUAUUAAGAUUUUAGCUCUUAAUAGGUCUGAAUGGGUCUUAAUCCUUCAGACAUAGAAUCAAGUCUUAAUAGGUCUGAAGAGGUAUUCUGGUGUUGGAUAAUAUUCAUCGCCACUGUAUUCAUAAUCAUCAAUCAUCACCUCUGCUACCGCUAUCAUUUUCAACCACCACCCACCACCACCAACCACCUCCACCAC